UACAGAGGGGGCAAGCGUUGUUCGGAAUUACUGGGCGUAAAGGGCGCGUAGGCGGCCUGCUAAGUCGAACGUGAAAUCCCUGGGCUCAACCCAGGAACUGCGUCCGAUACUGGUUGGCUUGAAUCCGGGAGAGGGAUGCGGAAUUCCAGGUGUAGCGGUGAAAUGCGUAGAUAUCUGGAGGAACACCGGUGGCGAAGGCGGCAUCCUGGACCGGCAUUGACGCUGAACGGCGAAAGCUAGGGGAGCAAACGGG
rnacentral:rRNA from 1 species